UAAAUAUAUUUUUUUAUUUUUAUUAUAAAUCGCGCGAUAUAAUACGUUGCUUUAUUUCGUUGUAAAAACUUUUUUAUUAUAUUAAAUAUUUUUAUAUUAAUUGGUUUGGUUAAAAUAUAUUAAAAAUAUCUUAUACCCAAUUGCGUAAUAUUAAUUGGUAAUAUUUAAAAUUAAAUAUGGAAAUUAAAAUUGUGGAAAAAAAUAUUUUGGCGAAAUAAUAAAAAAUUUAAAAAAAAUAAUUAAAAUUAUUUUAUUUACGGAAAUAAAAAAAAUUAUAAUUCGAAAAAAUAAUACGAAUUAUAUUUCGCGGAAUUAAUAAUUUGGAAAAAUUAAAUUGCGUGGAACGUAAAAAUAUAAAAUAGAAAAAACGACGGUAAUUAAUUGCGGUUUUUUUUAAAAUAUUUUUUUAAAAUAUAUUUUCCAAAUUUUAAUGUUAUUGGGGAUUUAAUUUUCCCGAUAAAUUUUUUAAAUUCUUUUUUAUUAAAUAAAAUAAAAAUGUUUGCGCAAUAUUUAAUUAAUAAAUUAUUUUAUAUAUUUUAAUUUAUAACGUAUAUUAACUGUUCUUUUUGAAUUCGUUUAAUAAUAUAAUCUCGAAUUUUGGUCCGUUUUUAAUUUUUAAAAAUAAUAAAUGAUAUUCUUUUAAACUUUCCUUUUUUUUUAUUAAUUUAUUUGCAAAUCCAAUUUUUAAUAAUAUUAACGGAACGGCUUUUAAUAAUUUCGGAAAUAAUUAAAAGGUUUUAAAAUGUUUUUUUUAUAUCUAUAAUUUUCCCAUUUAAUAAAAUAUUUUGUUUUACCGUAAUUGCGUUUGUAAUCGAAUAUUUAUUUGACGUUAUACGUUUAUUUUGCGUCGAUUUCGAUCGUUUUUUGCGUAUUAAUACCGUAUAAUAUGAAUUUUAAUAAUAAUAAAUAAAAUAUAAAAUAAAUGUUAAUAAUAUUUGGUAAUAAUAAUUUAUAAUUAAUUUUAUUAAUUCUUUUGUUAAUUUUUGAAAAAAUUU
rnacentral:sRNA from 1 species